GUUUGUGGUUUACUUAUACAUCCUAUCGAAACCAUCCCAUUACAAAUACUGGGCCAGCAAAUUACAAUGAUAAUCUGAUGCGAAUGUACUACGAGCAAACUUUGGAUGCAGUAGAUCGUAUUUUCAUUGAAAACAUCGAAAUCGUGCACGAAUUUAUGAAAGAAUUGUCUGGUGAUAUGAAAUCGAGUCUAAACCGGUCUGCACCGAAACUAAUUCAAGAUCCUAGUGGCAGCAUGCUACUGAAAAUAUAUGCCGUUAGUAACACAAUUCAACCGCUCAUAAAGAGCCUGCGGGCAGAUACAAAGCUGCUAGUAGCAGAUUUCAUGCAAUUAGCGGAUCUCACGCGAUUUUUCUAUCGAAAUACCACUACGUUUUUGAGUAAAGGCAAUAUCUCAGAUCUGAAAUAUGCGGAGUUGAUUCAGAGAGAACUCAUGGCAAAUGAACAUAAAAUUCCAAUGCUAUUGAAUAUCGAAACUGUAUUAUCGAAUAUUGAUGACGUUGUUGAAAUGUCAAUAGGGUUUUUGCGUUUAUGUGCAGCUUUCACAGAAAGCUUAAAUGAUUUACAGCGCUACUACGAGGACUACUUAACCAAUAUGUGGGGCGUCAAAGUGAAACAAAUUGAAGAAAAUUAUGUGAAAAUUCACAAAGCUGUAAGGAAGCUUCAGAUCGAAUUGCCGCGGAAUGUUAUAAUCCAUUUGCCGUCAGAUAUUUAUUCAUAUCAAUUACUUUUCAUAACAAUCGCUGUGAUCAUCGCCCUACUUUGCUUGAUGCAGCUAUGCUAUUCGGUUUAUCACACGGUCUUAAUGCGCUUCAAGAAGAAAAAGUACAUUUUAGUGAGCAUCGUUGUUGUUAUUUGUAUUUCAUCGAUUAUACUCUGUCUGAUCGCAAGCCUUACGCUCUUCGUGGGCACAUCCUACUUUAACUUUAGGCGAGAUGCUAACAGCCUCGACAAUCCAUGUGGCCUGGAUACCAAGAUCUACUGCGAUACACGCAACAGAUUUAGUUCGAUACUCAAUGCAGAUACGCAGAAAUUCGAGUUGGAAAUGGCUGUUGAAAACCAACGUAUUUUUGAGACACUUCGUGACGCAUUGCCGCGCGUCGCUGGCAUUUCGAAUAUUUUGCAAAUGCUGCAUUAUGCGAAUUUCAGUGAAGAAGUCUUCAAUUCCGGCAAAAUGUUUAAUGUGGUGAAACAAGAAUUGAAUAUGCAGAAUUGGUAUGAGACUUACGAGCGUCUAAAUUUGCACGUUCCUGUUGCAGACCCGUCAACUGCCAGCGCAGAGCCCGCGCUCUACGCAUCGAUGCUCUCGUGCAAUUUGAACACAAUGAAAUUGCAUGUCUUUGAAACUCUAAUAGCAAAGGAUAUCACCGAUAAUGUGUAUGGAAUGUCGAAGAAGGCAGAAAUUUUGGCAAAACAUUUGCCCAUGAAAAAUCUGACGACGCUGCUGAAGCAAAGCCUGAGCGAGAUGCGUGUAUUGCAUGAUUUUGUGGAAUUAGAGUUUAGGAACUUACUCUAUAAUAAGACAGAUCAACUGUUGCGCGGUGUUGAACUGGAAAUGACGGCAUAUAUGCGCAAUUGGGAUUUGAUACCUAACUGCUUGGAGUUGAAAUUGCCAAGUGUCGGUAUGCCCAAGGAUCUGUACGAAUGCAUUGAGUAUCGUUUGCAUGGCUUCUGGAUUGGCGCAUUCGCCAUACUUAUACUGCUCUUCCCGAUACUGAUCGUUUGCAUGUUGCUCGCAUUCCUCUACGAUAGGUUUCCUUAUACACGCCAGAGUGGCAGAAAUAGUAGAUCCUCUCAAUAUGGCGACGAAUCAUUUAACACCGGCAGCACCACCACAACCGGCAAUGCAACAGCCGACGAUGAGUCAGUGAGUGAACCAUCUACACCGAAAGAACUUAAUUGGACUGAUCAAUUUGGACCGGAAGUAAACAAAUCACAUGUCACCUUCAAUGCCGCACCGGUGACGACGAAGCAGACGCGUAGCUUUAUGGACAAAUUCAGCACGGCGAAACUCAAGGAUUUCCUAUAUUCGGUAAUAAAUUCUACGCCAGGUGAGCCACCAGAAACGGCGAGCUCACCUAAAUCUAGCCCUAGUGCCAGUACAAAUACUUCCGAAGAGGCGAGUGAAGAAAGUUAGAAAAUGCAAAAUUUUGAUCCUUCAUUUUGUGCGAAAUGUCGCUUUCUGAUAUGGUACAUAAAAUAUAACUCGCCUACAAGAAUGAUGGAUUACAGGAAGGGGACACCGUGAGAGUAUUUCUAGCUGUAACGUAACAAGUGGCAAGAGAGAAAGAGAACGGUACGAUGAACUUGCUCGUUAAUAACAAAAAAAUGAACUCUGCAACAAAAAAAUGGAAAAAAUAUCCACUUAAUACAUCACUCAUUGGUAGGCGCUCACGCUUAUCAAUCCGCCACAAAUUGCAUAUUUACAAACACUAAGACCGAUUUCGGCUUGAGGUAUACAAUUCUGGGGAUGCGUUAGUCAAAAGUACAUCACCUCUAUCCAACGUCUGCAAAACGAUAUCCGGCGGAGCAUAUAUAGUAAAAGCCACAUACUAUUCCUUCCUUACUGGACCUUCAUCAUGAUCUUGACAUAGUAGCUGUGACUGAAGUAACGAGGCAAUUCGCCAUAGCGCACAAAUAGCGAUCAAUAAGGUCAUGUCAACGAUGCAGCAUCCAGCCAACUUCGGCUGCAGUCUUCUCGAAGAGGUGGAGAGCGAGGAGCGAAUAUAUUAUAAAAUGCUUUUCUUACGAGAGUCAUUUGAAAAGUCCAUGUAAAGUCAGAGAAAUGGCUUUAGUGGCGCAAAUCGAGGUUAUUUUCAGUUGGUAACAUCUCUAGGAAGAACACACACUAAGUUUCAGCCAGAUCGGUAUAUUUCUUUGUGUAUGGUAUUUGUUUAAAUCGAGGGAGUCGACUGAUUUUCCUUUUCCAUCAUGACAACGCACCAGCUCACGUUUCAGCAGUUGUGGUCGCAAAAUUAAUGGAAAUAGGGUUUCAACUCGUUUUGCAUCCUCCUUAUGCUGCAGACUUGGCUCCCAUUUUAGGUUAGGUUGUAAUGCCUACGCCGAAGAAAGCAUUGCACCUCUUAUAACAAAUGUAGAGCGCCAUUGCGGAAAUGAUUUAUUUUUACUUUCACUAAAAAUAUUUUAUAUAUCCACUCGUGUAUCGACGCCGUCGUAUCACCAACCAAUGCUCAGAGUGAAAUGGUGGACAUAACAUAAGAUAAGAUUAAUACGCUGUUAUAACAAGAUUAAACUUGUGAGGAUCAGCGGGCACUUAGAAAUUGCAUUACUUGCAAAAGCAUCACCCCAACGUGUGACUCUGUAUCUAAGCGAGGCAAUACGACAAAGACGCACUUCACUAACCAUCGACUGGGCAACGUACGCCCACAACUACUCUGCAAUCAACCCGAGCAGAUAAAUGCCAGUCUACGACCCAAAGAUACCUCUGCGUGCGAUAAGACAUUUUAUUCGUCUGCGCCUUGGUCAUACAAUUUUCACUCAUGUCCGUCUAUUACAGCGAUCCCUGAGCGACACUUGUCCCUUCUGUGUAGAGGCCGCAAUGCCUAGAUACCUCCUGAUCUGCACAACAAUAGGCACACGUCGAGAAGAGAUUUCGAAAUACGUUGACCACUCCGUUAAAAAUGUACAAUUAUCAUAUAACCUUCUGAAAGAGGUUGAUCUGCUUAGCAGAAUUUUACACAAUCGCUACAAUGCGAACAUUUUUUUGAAAAAUACCAAAAUGGCGGACUUUUGAAAAA